rnacentral:miRNA from 1 species
ACCUCUUCUGAAGGCGGGCGGGGGGCGAAAGUCUUUGCUCCCCCCGCCUUCAAAAGCCCUCCGGGACAGGCAGGCAGGGGGGAGCAAAGACUUUCGCCCCCCCGCCCGCCUUCAGAAGGUCU